UACGUAGGGCGCGAGCGUUGUCCGGAAUUAUUGGGCGUAAAGAGCUCGUAGGCGGUUCGUCGCGUCGAAUGUGAAAACCCGGGGCUCAACUCCGGGCCUGCAUUCGAUACGGGCGGACUAGAGUUCGGUAGGGGAGACUGGAAUUCCUGGUGUAGCGGUGAAAUGCGCAGAUAUCGGGAGGAACACCAAUGGCGAAGGCAGCUCGCUGGGACGAUACUGACGCUGAGACGCGAAAGCGUGGGGAGCAAACAGG
rnacentral:rRNA from 1 species